AAAAUCUAAUUUCUAUCUUCUCCAUCCUCUUUCUCUCUUUUACGCUCUAUUCCUCGAUUCUUCCCUUCUUCCUUGAUUUUUCCCUUCUCCUUACCUCUCCUUACCUACUCACUCUUUUCCUAUGAUUAUACACCCCUAGAUCUAUUGGAUUUUAUCAAUUUCUAUUACUCUUUGUCAUUCUCGCUCUUAUCCCAAAUUCUUCUUCUUCUUAAAUUCUAUGAAUUCUUCAUCCUCCAUCUCCGUCGCUCGUCCAGAUCCCCUAAACCAUAGGUUUUGAUUUCGUUGGCUAGAAACCCCAAAACAUCUUCGUCGCAUGUAUGAUUUUGUUAGGGUUCAGUAGAUUCAUGAGCACUUGGGUUAGAUUUUGUUAGGGUUAGAUCGAUUUGGAUUAUAUUGAUUUCUUAGAAGAUUUAGGCCGGAGUGGAGUGGUUUAUGUUCUGAUGAUGCUUUUCAUGCCCUCCAGGUGCUCGACGAAUUGCCUCAUUAUUGACUUGCUUGUUUCUUAACUGUUUUGUGUUGAUUUAGGUUUUGUCUUGUUGCUGUUAAAACUUGCAGGUACUUACUGUUUCGUUUGUUUCUAUACAACGGUUUUAUGCACUCCACGCGGUCUUACUUAGUAGACAUGUUCUGUUUUUGUUGUUGUGAGGGUGUCUUGAUUUUGAUUUCCAAGUGAGUUUGAAUAAAUUUGUGGCAAAAAGUUUCAGAAAAUAAUUAGACGUUAAUUGAAUCAAGUUGGUGAGUCCUUCAAAAAACAAUUUGUGGCCUACACGUCUCGACAACCUCUCUUCUUUACACGUUUUGUGUGAGUCCUUAACGAUUUGGUUUUGUGUGAGUCCUUAACGUUAGCAUUAUAUAUAGUGGUUAGUCAAAUUUACUAGGUUUGGUUUCUCGAAUGUGAAGGCUUUGUCUCUUUGUAAACCAAUUUGAUGUCUUCUCCUAAGUAAUUUCAAGCUAGAUUCAUUCGUACUUGCUCUUAGAGCAUGAUUAGUCUAUUUAGUUCAAUUUUGUGCUUAGAUGAAGAGUUUCACGUGACUCUACCUCACUAUUUGAAUAUUAGUCUAAGUGGAAACAUUCUAGUCAUACUUGUUUGUAUUUCUUCUCUCUCCAUAUGUUUCUUUCUUCUAAAAUCUCAUUUAUCUGCAAGGGAUAAGGACUUACUAUGCAGCUAUCAAGAAAGUGGUGUAUAAAAUUAAGAAAGUUGGCACGAGGAUCAACGAUCUAUGUGGUAUCAUGGAGUUUGUUAAAAAAAAACUUGCUUAUAUGAUAAAAAAGAGGUUAAUUAACAACAUCAAGACUGUGAAAAAGAUUUUGGACAUGAAGGUGCAGAAGUCAUACUAUUGAUGAGGCCUAACGAUAAGCUCCUGGUCUGAAGCAAGAUAAUGUUAGGUAGUUUAAGUUGAAAUUUAUGGUUGUGUGACACAGAUAAAGUUAUUUCGGUUUGGUUUUGAAACUAAUGUAGUCAAACUAGAGUUCUUAUUUAAUUGUAUUAUUCUUCAUUAAUUGAAACCGGAUUGAAUA